rnacentral:rRNA from 1 species
GAUGAACGCUGGCGGCGUGCCUAAUACAUGCAAGUCGAGCGAACGGACGAGAAGCUUGCUUCUCUGAUGUUAGCGGCGGACGGGUGAGUAACACGUGGAUAACCUACCUAUAAGACUGGGAUAACUUCGGGAAACCGUAGCUAAUACUGGAUAAUAUUUUGAACCGCAUGGUUCAAAAGUGAAAGACGGUCUUGCUGUCACUUAUAGAUGGAUCCGCGCUGCAUUAGCUAGUUGGUAAGGUAACGGCUUACCAAGGCAACGAUGCAUAGCCGACCUGAGAGGGUGAUCCGCCACACUGGAACUGAGACACGGUCCCGACUCCUACGGGAGGCAGCAGUAGGGAAUCUUCCGCAAAGGGCGAAAGCCUGACGGAGCAACGCCGCGUGAGUGAUGAAGGUCUUCGGAUCGUAAAACUCUGUUAUUAGGGAAGAACAUAUGUGUAAGUAACUGUGCACAGCUUGACGGUACCUAAUCAGAAAGCCACGGCUAACUACGUG